rnacentral:sRNA from 2 species
CCUGAUCCGGAGCCGAGCUCUGCCAGCGGAUCAGGUGCAUCAGUCAACAACUGGCAGAGGCGGGGGAACCACAACCGGCAGUCGUAAGACUGCCUUGGGGUUAAGUCCGUCAGCAGCAAGCCUCUUCCAGCGAAGGAUCCUCACGGGAUAUCUCUGCGCCAAGUGCUUGUCACGGCGGACCGGGUCUUUGAACUCUCUGACCCGAAUCCGACAGCUAACUUCGCAGGCUAUCCAGAGAGGAACA